UACGUAGGGUGCAAGCGUUAUCCGGAAUUAUUGGGUCGUAAAGAGCUCGUAGGCGGUUUGUCGCGUCUGCCGUGAAAGUCCGGGGCUCAACUCCGGAUCUGCGGUGGGUACGGGCAGACUAGAGUGAUGUAGGGGAGACUGGAAUUCCUGGUGUAGCGGUGAAAUGCGCAGAUAUCAAGAGGAACACCAGUGGCGAAGGCGACUUCCCUGGACCAUUCUUGACGCUGAGGCGCGAAAGCUAGGGGAGCAAACGGG
rnacentral:rRNA from 1 species